rnacentral:rRNA from 1 species
GUCGAACGGACUUAAUAUGAAACCUAGUGAUUGUUAAGUUAGUGGCGUACGGGUGAGUAACGCGUGGAUAACCUGCCGUAUGCAGGGGGAUAACAGUUGGAAACAGCUGCUAAUACCGCAUAAGCGCACGGUGCCGCAUGGUACAGUGCGAAAAGAUUUAUCGGCAUACGAUGGAUCCGCGUCCGAUUAGCCAGUUGGCGGGGUAACGGCCCACCAAAGCGACGAUCGGUAGCCGGCCUGAGAGGGCGGACGGCCACAUUGGGACUGAGACACGGCCCAAACUCCUACGGGAGGCAGCAGUGGGGAAUAUUGCACAAUGGGGGGAACCCUGAUGCAGCGACGCCGCGUGAGUGAAGAAGUAUCUCGGUACGUAAAGCUCUAUCAGCAGGGAAGAAAAUGACGGUACCUGACUAAGAAGCCCCGGCUAACUACGUGCCAGCAGCCGCGGUAAUACGUAGGGGGCAAGCGUUAUCCGGAUUUACUGGGUGUAAAGGGAGCGUAGACGGCACUGCAAGUCCGGAGUGAAAGCCCAAGGCUUAACCAUGGGACUGCUCUGGAAACUGUGGAGCUUGAGUGCGGGAGGGGCAGGCGGAAUUCCUAGUGUAGCAGUGAAAUGCGUAGAUAUUAGGAGGAACACCGGCGGCGAAGGCGGCCUGCUGGACCGUAACUGACG